rnacentral:lncRNA from 1 species
GUUUUCCAGUAAUAGAAGUUUUAUGUAUUUGUUUACUAGAAGAAAGUCAAAGCAAAUAGAAAAACCAGGGGAAAGGACAGCAGCUUCUUGUCUGAGGAAAUGGAGAUCACUCACACAUCUCUUGGUCUUCUUUAACCUCAUUGAUGUUUCUACUAUGGAGCCUGAAGCAGAAGUCACAAGAAGCACCCCAAUCUUGAUCUUAUAUUUUAAAACCUAUGUUUAUUGAGAGGAUGAAGUUGAUCUGUUCCAGACGGGAGGGGAAAGGAGACCCUGCUUUUUUAUGGAGAAGAAACUAAAGCAAAAGGAGAUGAGUGGUUUGCAAGAGUGGAAGGGGUGUGUUGAUAAACCUAAUCACAUCAGAAGUCACUCCAGGAGCAUUCUGCAUGGUCAGCAAAGAAAGCCUCGAGUCGAGCACCUGCCAGGGCUAAUCCACAGCAGGAACACUUUGUAUGUGGAGCACUAAGAAUUCGUCCCAGAGUAUACGUGGUUCCCAUCUUCAAUGCGAUGGAUGCCCCCAGAUGAGCGCCUCACAACUUCAAUACCAAAAUAUUGCUGCAUCUAUUUUGUAUAUGAGGAGAGACGAGAAGGAAAAAGAGAAAAGCUCUGAUUUCUUGCUAUGCUCUUGCUGCAUUGUUUACGAUGCGGACUCUUCGGAAAGACAGAGCCAUGGUUCCCGCGAUGAGCGGGCGGCAUGCAGAGCCCGCUCUGUGGGAAUGUCCUUUUCAAGGGCGACAAUGGGGAACCACAGAACAAACCUGGUGAAAUCACUCAGCCCCGGAGCGUCAGCCUUCCAAGUUGCUUCAUAAUUAGAAAACAAAACGCUCAGCUACAAUACCAACGGUGUUUUUACCUUCUCUGGCUACUGAAUUAUUUAUUCAAAAAAGCUUUAUCACCAGUGCGUUAUCCGGCCACCCUAGAGGGGAAGGGAUCCUUUUAUAGUGAAUAUAAGGAAUCAGAAUGAGAUAACCAGAUAAUUUAAUUUGACGUGAAUAGAUAUUGUGAGAAGCCCCAGGUAGCAUUUUCUUGCUGAAUAUGAAAUAGUUCAAGGGAAGGGACAUCAACGGCAAACAGCAGAGAAAACU